AUUGAACGCUGGCGGCAGGCCUAACACAUGCAAGUCGAACGGUAACAGGAAGAAGCUUGCUUCUUUGCUGACGAGUGGCGGACGGGUGAGUAAUGUCUGGGAAACUGCCUGAUGGAGGGGGAUAACUACUGGAAACGGUAGCUAAUACCGCAUAACGUCGCAAGACCAAAGAGGGGGACCUUCGGGCCUCUUGCCAUCGGAUGUGCCCAGAUGGGAUUAGCUAGUAGGUGGGGUAACGGCUCACCUAGGCGACGAUCCCUAGCUGGUCUGAGAGGAUGACCAGCCACACUGGAACUGAGACACGGUCCAGACUCCUACGGGAGGCAGCAGUGGGGAAUAUUGCACAAUGGGCGCAAGCCUGAUGCAGCCAUGCCGCGUGUAUGAAGAAGGCCUUCGGGUUGUAAAGUACUUUCAGCGGGGAGGAAGGGAGUAAAGUUAAUACCUUUGCUCAAUGACGUUACCCGCAGAAGAAGCACCGGCUAACUCCGUGCCAGCAGCCGCGGUAAUACGGAGGGUGCAAGCGUUAAUCGGAAUUACUGGGCGUAAAGCGCACGCAGGCGGUUUGUUAAGUCAGAUGUGAAAUCCCCGGGCUCAACCUGGGAACUGCAUCUGAUACUGGCAAGCUUGAGUCUCGUAGAGGGGGGUAGAAUUCCAGGUGUAGCGGUGAAAUGCGUAGAGAUCUGGAGGAAUACCGGUGGCGAAGGCGGCCCCCUGGACGAAGACUGACGCUCAGGUGCGAAAGCGUGGGGAGCAAACAGG
rnacentral:rRNA from 1 species